rnacentral:rRNA from 1 species
GCUUGCUCCUUUGACGUUAGCGGCGGACGGGUGAGUAACACGUGGGUAACCUACCUAUAAGACUGGGACAACUUCGGGAAACCGGAGCUAAUACCGGAUAAUAUGUUGAACCGCAUGGUUCAAUAGUGAAAGAUGGUUUUGCUAUCACUUAUAGAUGGACCCGCGCCGUAUUAGCUAGUUGGUGAGGUAACGGCUCACCAAGGCAACGAUACGUAGCCGACCUGAGAGGGUGAUCGGCCACACUGGAACUGAGACAUGGUCCAGACUCCUACGGGAGGCAGCAGUAGGGAAUCUUCCGCAAUGGGCGAAAGCCUGACGGAGCAACGCCGCGUGAGUGAUGAAGGUCUUAGGAUCGUAAAACUCUGUUAUUAGGGAAGAACAAACGUGUAAGUAACUGUGCACGUCUUGACGGUACCUAAUCAGAAAGCCACGGCUAACUACGUGCCAGCAGCCGCGGUAAUACGUAGGUGGCAAGCGUUAUCCGGAAUUAUUGGGCGUAAAGCGCGCGUAGGCGGUUUUUUAAGUCUGAUGUGAAAGCCCACGGCUCAACCGUGGAGGGUCAUUGGAAACUGGAAAACUUGAGUGCAGAAGAGGAAAGUGGAAUUCCAUGUGUAGCGGUGAAAUGCGCAGAGAUAUGGAGGAACACCAGUGGCGAAGGCGACUUUCUGGUCUGUAACUGACGCUGAUGUGCGAAAGCGUGGGGAUCAAACAGGAUUAGAUACCCUGGUAGUCCACGCCGUAAACGAUGAGUGCUAAGUGUUAGGGGGUUUCCGCCCCUUAGUGCUGCAGCUAACGCAUUAAGCACUCCGCCUGG